rnacentral:lncRNA from 1 species
CGGAUUCGGGCUUAGGAGGUUAAAAGGGGCCAGAUCUAAAUUUUUUCCCUUUUCUGGCCACCGUGUGCGGCGGUGCCGUUGCCGCUGGCCGACGGCCGAAGCGGUGGCCCUUUCGCCGGAUUUUGGGCCGGUGCCCGGAGAAGAAAAAGGGGGUAGAGAGUUUUUUUUGUUUUUUUUUUUGUUUUAAAGAAGGGAGAAAUGAAAAAUUUUUGAAUGAAAUUUGGC